rnacentral:rRNA from 1 species
UAGGGAAUCUUCGGCAAUGGGGGCAACCCUGACCGAGCAACGCCGCGUGAGUGAAGAAGGUUUUCGGAUCGUAAAGCUCUGUUGUAAGAGAAGAACGUGUGUGAGAGUGGAAAGUUCACACAGUGACGGUAACUUACCAGAAAGGGACGGCUAACUACGUGCCAGCAGCCGCGGUAAUACGUAGGUCCCGAGCGUUGUCCGGAUUUAUUGGGCGCAAAGCGAGCGCAGGCGGUUUAAUAAGUCUGAAGUUAAAGGCAGUGGCUUAACCAUUGUUCGCUUUGGAAACUGUUAAACUUGAGUGCAGAAGGGGAGAGUGGAAUUCCAUGUGUAGCGGUGAAAUGCGUAGAUAUAUGGAGGAACACCGGUGGCGAAAGCGGCUCUCUGGUCUGUAACUGACGCUGAGGCUCGAAAGCGUGGGGAGCAAACAGG